ACAGCAGCCGCCGCGGUAAGACAGAGGAUGCAAGCGUUAUCCGGAAUGAUUGGGCGUAAAGGGCUCGCAGGCGGUUUCUUAAGUCUGAUGUGAAAGCCCCCGGCUCAACCGGGGAGGGUCAUUGGAAACUGGGAAACUUGAGUGCAGAAGAGGAGAGUGGAAUUCCACGUGUAGCGGUGAAAUGCGUAGAGAUGUGGAGGAACACCAGUGGCGAAGGCGACUCUCUGGUCUGUAACUGACGCUGAGGAGCGAAAGCGUGGGGAGCGAACAGGAUUAGAUACCCCAGUAGUCCCUGUCUCUUAUAC
rnacentral:rRNA from 1 species